CCUACGGGAGGCAGCAGUGGGGGAUAUUGCACAAUGGGGGAAACCCUGAUGCAGCGACGCCGCGUGAGCGAAGAAGUAUUUCGGUAUGUAAAGCCCUAUCAGCAGGGAAGAAGAAAUGACGGUACCUGCGUAAGAAGCACCGGCUAAAUACGUGCCAGCAGCCGCGGUAAUACGUAGGGUGCAAGCGUUAUCCGGAUUUACUGGGUGUAAAGGGAGCGAAGGCGGCACGGCAAGCCUGAUGUGAAAGCCCGCGGCCCAACCGCGGGACUGCAUUGGGAACUGCCGGGCUGGAGUGCCGGAGAGGUAGGCGGAAUUCCUAGUGUAGCGGUGAAAUGCGUAGAUAUUAGGAGGAACACCAGUGGCGAAGGCGGCUUACUGGACUGUAACUGACGUUGAGGCUCGAAAGCGUGGGGAGCAAACAGGAUUAGAUACCCGAGUAGUC
rnacentral:rRNA from 1 species